AUACGGAGGGUGCAAGCGUUACUCGGAAUCACUGGGCGUAAAGCGCGCGCAGGCGGCUAUUUAAGUGGGAUGUGAAAGCCUACGGCUCAACCGUAGAACUGCAUCCAAAACUAUUUAGCUAGAGUGUGGGAGAGGAAGAUGGAAUUAGUUGUGUAGGGGUAAAAUCCGUAGAGAUAACUAGGAAUACCAAAAGCGAAGGCAAUCUUCUGGAACACUACUGACGCUGAGGCGCGAAAGCGUGGGGAGCAAACAGGAUUAGAUACCCUAGUAGUCC
rnacentral:rRNA from 1 species